rnacentral:misc_RNA from 1 species
GAAAUGCGAUAAGUAAUGUGAGUUGCAGAAUUCAGUGAAUCAUCGAAUCUUUGAACGCACAUUGCGCCCGCCAGUAUUCUGGCGGGCAUGCCUGUUCGAGCGUCAUUUCAACCAUCAAGCCCCCGGGCUUGUGUUGGGGACCUGCGGCUGCCGCAGGCCCCGAAAACCAGUGGCGGGCUCGCUGUCACACCGGGCGUAGUAGAUUUUUCGUCUCGCCCAGGGCGUGCUGCGGGUUCCGGCCGUUAAAAAGCCUCUCUUUUUAACCCAAGGUUGACCUCGGAUCAGGUAGGAAGACCCGCUGAACUUAAGC